GGGUUUCCCAGAACGAGAGAGGACACAUCCUGGAGCUGGCGGAUGGGCGCCGCCCGUCCCUAUGGCAGGGUGGCGGGCGUGCAGCCGGGCUAAAGUUGCGAAGGAAGCCACUUCAGAGGUUUGGGCCUGGACGGGAGUUGUUUGUGCGGUCAAGACCCUCGUAAUGCACUUUGCCAGCAGAACUCGGCCGGCUGGUCGCCGAAGGCGGCCGGUACAACCAGCAAGAACUUGAGGAAGGGCGCGCCGGGUAGCAGGUGAAAGGCGUCCAGUCUCCCCGGAAGAAGGAAAGGGAACACAGCACCCCGGCUCACGGGAGAGCAUCUACGGGGGUGCAGUUCGGCGGUGGCGACACCAGGAAGAUGUGGUAGAUGCAGUGCGGAGACUCCACUUCAACGGAAUUUGCAGGGGAUCACUGACAGGGUCGCCCGCAAAGACCAGGUGAAGGCAGGAGGCGCCAGAGUUAUAUCACCAGUGUUGUUCACUGUGGUUCCCCCCCCCCCCGUUACGAACCUCUGUGGCUGGCAUUCCUUUGGUUGUGAUUAUUUAUGGAAGGAACGGAGGUGCGCUCAGCCACUGUUGUGGUCCGGACCGGUUUGAGACAUCAAGGGAAAAAAGAUCCAAGCCAGUGUUUUGGAGGAAUGAAUCAGUCAUUUAGAGAAGGAGUAUGUGUUGCAAGUGAGGGACAGGAAGGAGACCAAGAUGCAGAUAGAUGAUCCCAAAGGGAUGGAGUGAGUGGAAGGGUAAAGUAAGGAAGCACAGAACAGUUGAAAGCACUAACCUACUUCCAGAGUCUUCAGUGGAGACCCCAGUUGGUUCCUGGGCCCAGUCAUGAUGACCUGUUUUCCCUUUUUGGACUUAGAAUUGAUGUGUGAGGCAUUUAGAAUAAAUUUCCAUCUGCUUCAGCCAGGCAUGAAUUAGCUAAGUGGAUAAGAAGGGCAGCCCUCUGGGGCCUUCAGCCUAUCCCUGUUUGUAGAGGAGGGGCCCUGGGACCUCUGUAAUGGAACUGAGAUGGCUUUGGUUGUCAAGCCAACAGGUAAGUGGAGUUCUCUGAGGAGGUAGUGGUUGGUGAUUAGAGAUACUCCUGAAGGCCUCAAAUCAAGAGCCUGUGUCCAGGGCAGUUCUGGGGAGAAGAAAGAGUGUACUCUGGUGCUCCCCAUCCCCAUGCAAGAGAACAGAACCUGCUGGGCUAAGAGCCCAGCCCCAAAGUGAUUUAAUUUGGCAUGCAUAUAA